rnacentral:lncRNA from 1 species
AUGCCUGCUUUGGCCAAGGCUCCUCAUUUCAGAAUGGCGCGCCUUUGGUCGCUCGCGGGACUCCUCGUUUCUCUGCGCUCGCCGCUGAGCGCCGCGCUCGCGCUGGACUCGAGCCCGGGCUGCCCGGGCGAGCGCGCGACGCCAGCGGAGAUUCCCGCCGCGUCGGGCGCGCUCUCGGCGUGCGCGCUGACCUGCAGCGCGCGGACUUACCGGCAGCUGCUGGAGAAGAGAGACGCGCGGACCGUGCGGUUCAGCGCGGCGACGGCAGGAAAGCACGGUGACCACUGCUGGUCAACAGAAGUGAUGCAUGGUGACAGCGAGAGCUUACAGCGCGCUUACGUCGUGUUGCCUGUUGACACGGAACUAGCGGCGUGGGAGCCGCUCAGCCUGAGAACCACCUGUCCUGUUCACCACGAUGCACUGAAACCCCACCACGGUGCAGCAGCAGCCAUGAGCAGGGACUGUGGUUUGACCUUUGAUGUCACUACAUUCUUCAGCAGUGGCAGAAGUUUUCCGCUUUUCUGCAUCGAGAUCGUUCCACAGCUAAGCAGCUUGAGAGGAGCUCUGAGGUGCCCACCAUUCCUAGUCACUACUUGGCUCAGGCAAUAUAACCCAUAUACGUAGCUAGAAUCAAACCAUUUACUGUAUUUUACAUAUCAUGGAUUGAAAAAUUCUUUACAUUUUUAUUAUACCAUAAAGUAAGCAAAUGGAGAGGAAAAAUAAGCAAGUUUGAUGAGAUAGAUAUAUAUCUUUUCAAUAUUACAUGCAGAAAGAAAAGUUUUAUAUUUUUUGGUAGAACACAUGGAUUUAGCUAUUGAAUAUAAAUUUUAUUUUUUUUACUGUGGUUUUUUUUUUUUUUUUAACCUAUUUUGCAGGGCUUUGUGGUAGCUUCCAUUUUUUGCUGCUAUGUAUUUCAGUACUUAACGUUUUAAUUUUUCCACCAAGACCCACCUUUUGUCACACACACACACACACACACACACACACACACACACACACACACACGACCACUUGUCCCAAGUGGGGUCGCGGCAAACUGGAGCCUAACCCGGCAACACAGGGCACAAGGCUGGAGGGGAAGGGGACGCACCCCAGACAGGACACCAGCCCGCCGCAAGGCACCCCAAGCAGGACUCAAACCCCAGACCCACCACACAGUAGGCCCUAGCCAAACCCGCUGCAUCACUGUAUCCUCUUGUAUCAUACAUAAAAUUAAAUUUUUUUUCUGAGGUUUGUAGAUGUAUGGCAACUGCUUGUAAAGUAAUAUUGCAUUAAUAAUAAAAAAUGUUUUUUUCCUGUAUUUUCA